GCUGGACCGUGAUGGGCCUAAUAACGCACGCGCUCGGGAAGGCGGCGGUCCGGUGACAUUCGUAGUUCGGGCGGAAAUCCCUGCGCGAUCGACCUCUCAUGGCGCAUGUCCCCAAAUCUCGACGACGCCUCCCCUCGAUUUCGCUUCCCUCGUCCAUCCUCAUCGUUUUCUCACAUUUCUCAGCUUCUGCUUCGGGACAACGGUGUCGCUGUGGCGACGUCUCUCGGCGGAGCCUGCUCAAAUUCGGUGCUCUAUUACUGCCCAAAUCAACUUGAAGUUCCUUUCAUCUCACGCUGCGCAGGUGUUUGUGAAAAGCUGAGAUUAUUAUCUGGAGAGGAUUCUUCCACGUUUCCUGUGCUCCUGGUUAGUCCACCAACCACUUCACAGGUGACACCUACCACCCUCAGUUUCAUUAUUUUCUUCAGUGGGCUACAAGUAUACAUAUCAAUGUUUUAUUCCUUCAUGAACUUUCCUUCUCUGUUCCAAGCACCUUCUGUGGAUAAAGUGAAAGCUUAAGAUGUCAUCAGAUACGCAACAAGGUUGCUUUGUAGACCAAAUUAAGGACAAAUCUUGCAUGUGAAAGGUCACAUGCAAGGUUAAAAAAUUAAACGGUCCAAUGCAUCCCCAGCACAUGUAAAGUGGCACUUAAUCUUUUGGCAGGUGGUGCAGUUUCAACAAGCAGUGCUUUGAAGCCCAUGCAUGAAGGAUUUGAUGAACAAGGAGACCUACCAACAUAAUGACAUUAUCAGCAGGAAAAACCCUGUUGGUGCAAGAAGAAAGUCGGUAGUCUACAUCACGUCAUGAAGGAGAGCCACUAGACAUUGGGGCCAUCCAUGUAUCUACCCUCACAAAACUGUGAGUGAUUCCUCAUCGGUAAAAAGUAUGUGCCAUCCAUAUUUUUAGACUUUGAACCAAGAAACAACAAAACAUAGUAUAUGUUUUCACCCAGAAAAUGAGAACUUUAGACUCCUUUGUUGUCCUCAUCACAUAGAUUAAUUAUGUAGUGCUUGAUUGAUAGAGAUUGAUGAGGUGGGGAAAUUUUAGCUGUGACCUCAUUAGGUACGUAGUGAUGACCGAGUUGCCUGCCGUGUGGGACACGAGGUUGCUUGUUCUCGGGGGAUGUUUGACUGCCAUGUAUAUGAUCAUGAAAAAAAUAAAUAGUACAAAUGAGGCAGUCAAAUGUUACUAGUUAGAUUCUUA